rnacentral:rRNA from 1 species
GACGAACGCUGGCGGCGUGCUUAACACAUGCAAGUCGAACGGAAAGGCCCUGCUUUUGUGGGGUGCUCGAGUGGCGAACGGUGAGUAACACGUGAGUAACCUGCCCUUGACUUUGGGAUAACCUUCAGGAAACUGGGGCUAAUACCGGAUAGGAGCUCCUGCUGCAUGGUGGGGUUGGAAAGUUUCGGCGGUUGGGGAUGGACUCGCGGCUUAUCAGCUUGUUGGUGGGGUAGUGGCUUACCAAGGCUUUGACGGGUAGCCGGCCUGAGAGGGUGACCGGCCACAUUGGGACUGAGAUACGGCCCAGACUCCUACGGGAGGCAGCAGUGGGGAAUAUUGCACAAUGGGCGGAAGCCUGAUGCAGCAACGCCGCGUG